ACGAUUUCCUGUAAAACUGUUUUUGGCGCAGUUUUUCAGCGGCAGUCGCGGGAGUUUGAAAUGUGAUGGUUUAACGGAGCCCAUGGAGAUUUCUUUCGUCAUUAGCAGCCCCCUUGAUAGAGGCACAAGUGUGUGGGAUGCCCUGGUGGCCACACCCCCGGACUGGGCCAUCACCAUCACACCUGCGUCCCAUUCCAGGUGAUUACCAGGAGGACUAUUUAACCCUGCGCUGACGGAUGCUCCACGCCAGUCCGUUAGUCACCCAUCAGUGGUUACUAUCUGGCGUUUUGUGCCUGCCACCGGCCUAUCCUCAUGCCUGCUCGGAUCUCUGAGUGCACCAUCUAUCCUCAUCCCUGCCUCCUCGUAUUUGCCUCCCACGGACACGCUUCCCCCCCUCCGAGUCCCACGGUCCGGCUCUCAUCCCUCCCAUGGUCCCGAAUACAGCUUCGCUGUGUAUUUUGUCUUCCAGGUUUCCUUCAGUUGCGUGAUUUUGCUUCCUUGGUUGUUCUGGGUCACCUUUUGUUAAAUCAAUAAAAUCUGUACUUGCUCACAUUAAGGGUAUUGAGUUUGCUUUUGGGUCCCGCUUUAGUGUAUGAACUGCGCUUCAUGACAUUAUGUGUUUGAUUAAGAAUAAAAAA